rnacentral:lncRNA from 1 species
UUCCUUGCAUAAUUUUGGAGGUAACCUAGCUGCGUAAUUAUAUUUGCACUUACAGAAGACUGCAUCAGAGUUCCCUUAUUGGUUUGAAAUUCCAUUAAAUAUAUUGCAAGAGCUCCUAGGUUAAGCUUGAUUUAAAUUUGCAUACAUUUUCAUAUAUUUAGCAGAAAUAAAAGAAGGCUUGCAGCUACCAGAAAGUCAUUAAGGCAUUAGUUUCUCUGAGAAGACAGAUCUGGAGAAAAUUCAAGAAAAUGAAUCUCUUUCUCUCUAUAUAUAUAUAAACAGGUGGAGUGGAAGACAAUGCCUGCAUUUAUGGUUAACUAUAAGUGCUACACUAGGAAGAUGAUGGUAUUCAGAUACACACAAAUAAUUUGAUUCAGACAGAUUGGAUACAAGAUUUCAACCAGCAUAAGGAGAACAGAUGAAAACGAGAAGUGAUAACUGGCAGUGCGUAAAAUACUGGGAAAAGAAAUCACUGACCAAGCCAUGGAGACCAAAAUCAGUACUAAUUCUAUUAAUUGAAAGAUCAUUCAUUCAGUACGAAGGCCUGAUCCUGUGAAGAUUUAAAUAGGUGAGUAACUCAGGUGCUUAGGUAUUUUCAG